rfam:Populus trichocarpa scaffold_12_contig_28, whole genome shotgun sequence.
UAAGGGGGAGGAGAGACAAAUUCCACAUGCCUCUUUGUUUUUGAAAGAACCGAGGUUGAACAGAUCUAAUGACUGAGAUAUCCUUUCAGUCAUCAUUCUUUGAUUGAUGAUUCAAUUAUUGCUCGUCCAUGU